GAUGAAGAACGUAGCGAAAUGCGAUAAGUAAUGUGAAUUGCAGAAUUCAGUGAAUCAUCGAAUCUUUGAACGCACCUUGCACCCUUUGGCAUUCCGAAGGGUAUGCUCGUUUGAGUGUCAUUGUACUCUCACACUCCCGAUCUUUGGAUUGGGAGCGGUGGACUUGGGUUUGCUGCUUGCCGUGGCUCACCUCAAAUGGAUUAGUGCAACUCUUGGUUGACCAUAGUACGGCGUGAUAAGUGUCUUCGCCGGCACCUCACUGGGUGGGCCGAUCGGGAGCUCUGUGCUUCAAAUCGUCUUCGGACAACAACUGACAACUUGACCUCAAAUCGAGUAGGACCACCCGCUGAACUUAAGCAUAUCAAUAAGCGGAGGA
rnacentral:misc_RNA from 1 species